rnacentral:rRNA from 1 species
CUUGACGACUAUAGAGCUCUGGAACCACCUGAUCCCAUUCCGAACUCAGAAGUGAAACAAAGCAUCGCCGAUGGUAGUGUGGGGCCUCCCCAUGUGAGAGUAGGUCAUCGUCAAGC